AACUUCACUUCAAUUUUGCCUCUGCCCAUUUUUCCUCUGCGAGAAGAAACUCUGUGAAGUGAGAUAGGACAAAGGAUUGUCUCCACUAGCCUGCCGCCGUCACACGGCGGAACCGCUGCCGGUGAAAUUGUCUUCAUUUGUUUUUCCCUUUCAAUCCACCGUCAAGCAUAGAACCUCUACCCUCUACCCCUCUCUCAAAUGCAGACCCAAGUUAUUUCGCAGAAAGCUUGCAAGGGCAUGAUCAUGGGUACCAACGUUUUCAAUCUCCGACCCGGCCUCCAUAUCAGACCAUUCUCUCUCGGUUUUUCUCAGAGAAGAACCAGUUAUGAGGAGACGUAAGGAAUAUAGAGAUUGUGGCUCAUGUUGAUCCUAGAAAGACAUCUUUGGUUGAUUCUAUUUUAAACAAGCAAAGGAAAAUCUUAUGAUUCAAUUGCUUCCUUCUCUACCAGAUUGCUUGCUAUUAGUCCCAAAAAAAUUCCCACAAAAUCCCCUAAGCAAAAGCCAAGGGCUGUCUUUUUCAAGUGGGUUUGUAUUUCUUAUUCGAAUAUCAAUUGUGGGAAUUAUUGUUGGUUGAAGAUUGGUAAUAAGCAUUGGUUUCUAGGAUCAUUUAUGAGAAACCCAAAUAGAUUUUUUGUUGUCUUUUGUUUGAUUCUUUGUUUUGUUUGAUUUGUGUUGAGUUAAGGAAUUGUUUUAGUUUCUCUAUUAAUCCUUUGGGAUAUCAUAUAAACUUCAAUUUAUUAUUAUUAUUUUUUUGGCUUAUGAAUAUUGAUACAGGAAAAAACUGCCAAUUAAUGAGGAAAAACAAGGCAAAUGUGAUGUAGUAAGAAAAUGUGGGUGUGGUCGUAAGAAAAUGUUUGCUCUACUCUCUGUCCUCUUCUACUACACUCAAAUAUCUAACCCAAGUAUAGUUUUUUUGUUAUCUUUUUUAUUACCUGAUUUGUUUUAAAAAAAAUUCCCAGUAGCAGUUUAGGUGGUUUGAUGUUGGUUCCUUAAAUUUUUACUUUAUGUAUCAAUAUGUUUUUGAUUUGUGAAUUCCAUUAUUCUAAAUAUGUCUUAGAUAUUGGAAAUUAUGGUUCCCUUUAUUUUCAACACCGGUAGAUUAACCAAGUUCUAUUUCUUGGUUAUAUCUGCUAGGAGUUCGACAAAAUGCCUCUAAGAGCAGCCGGUAUUACUUGGCAUUUUUGCAUCUACAUAACUUUAAAGCCUGUACAUGUGUUGGUAUACUAGUAUAGAUGAACUGUUAUAAACUAUUUGAUGAUUUCCCUCUAAGUUCUAUAUUUAUGUUUAAUAUCUUAGACGUUGUUACAUUCUGCUUUAUGUAGAUUGCGGAUGUGCUGACUUGGGUUGGAAUACUGGAAAGUUAAUUGUUUGGACUAUUUGAUGUGCUUAUUCCCACUACUUUUAAUUUAUGUUAGGAUUGUUCAUUUUUGGUUUUAUGCUAUAUUCUAAUGUUGAAAUUUUCAUUAUAAAUAGGUAUAAAUCAUGUCAGAUGUCAAAACUCGUGUAAAUUAGUCCUCAAACCUCAGUUGGUUGCAGCUUAACUGUAAUGAGGAGGUGGCAAGUCAGUUGGUUUACAUGGUUUUUUUGCAAUUGAUAGAUCAUGACCCAAUUUGCAUAUAAGCACGUGACAAUAGAGUUAGGAUUUCACCUGAGGUAGUUCAGUUUUAUUAAUAUAGCACUUAAUUGCAACAUAUUUGGAUUUAGAAAAAUGCAAGGGUGUUUAGUGGCAAAGUAUUAUAAGAGGAGGUUAUGCCGUAUUUGUUCAAUUGUAAUGUGUUUAGUUUGUCAUGGGUGUAAUUUUUGGGUGGAUUCAUGUUAUAGUCAUUUUAAUACUAUUUUAUCAAAAAGUUGUUCUCUUUCCAAGUUUUUGUUUUCUUUUCAUAUUAAGUCACGUUUUCUCUUUAUAAUGUUAGGUAUAAAGAAAAAGGCAAGUUAAAUUCUACUACAAUUCUCUAAUAUGCCAAUAGACCUUCGCAUCGCUAUGCUUUUUGUUGUUGCUCGUUGGAAUCAUCAUUUAACUUUGCCUUGAUGUAAAAAUUACAUUACAUAGUACAAAAAUACAAUUCAUCUGUAAAUCAGUUUUUGUAAUAUAAAUUUUAGGUUAUUUAUGAUGGAUAAAACUGUAGCGGUCAUUGAUCUGGGCAUAGAACAGAGCCUUGAAGUUGAGUUUUAAUUAUGUGUCUUCAAUAAGGUUUUCUAUCAAUUUAUGGAUUUCAAUUCUUAACUAAUGCGGGAGACGCAAGAAGAUUAUUAUUUAGUAUUAUUUAUGUUUGCAAGUCAAUUGUAUUUUUAUAUUUUAGGUCCUAUUAGUUUAUUGGACUAUUAGUAUUUUAAUUUGGAAGCAAGGUUAUUUCUGUAAUAAGGCAAUUAGGAUUUCCUAGCCAAUUAGAACUAGGGUUUAGCAAUCCUUUAUAAGCAACCUAUUGUACUCUUUGAGGAGAUAGUUGAUGUUUUGAUGAAUGAAAAAAAUGGCCGUUUGGUCUUUCCUUGGUCUGGUGUUGACUCCAGGUCUAGCCCAGGUGCUGACUCCUAGUGGUUUCCUCACUUGGUGCUGACUCUAGGUCUGCCCUAGGUACUGACUCCUAGGUCAUAUCCCUUUAUUUUUCCAUUGUUUAGUUUUAUUCUGGUUGUCCUGUGUCAUUAACCCUUUUUCUUCUCUAUUUUUUUUUGGUUGAAGUCAAGGAAACACUUAUAGAAAAUCCAAUUCUAUAGGUUUUGUAAGAAAAUAUUGUGGAUAUGGAAGAGUUUCGUAGUGGAGAUAGUAUUGAUUUAAUGGUUUAUUUUUUUUGUGUGUUUUUGAAAGGCCUAAGAGUCGGCCUGGUGAUCAAUUUAUUUGGCUGAAAAAUUAAUUUAUAUUGAUGUAGAUUGUGGUUUUAGAAUUUUCAGUGAUAUAUAUGAGCUGUUUGUUGUAGAUAGUUUUGUUUAUGGGGUUCAAUAAAAAUUUUAGGCACAGUUGAUUUGAUGCUAAAUAGCUAUUGGGUUUUGUUUUAGAAAAUCUUUAGAUUUUUGUUGUUAUUGUGAUUUGACUUUUUUUUCUUCUUCUUUGGGUUGAUGCUGAUUACUAUCUUGAUUUAAUUGAAAUAGUCUUGAAACACACAUAUUUUACUCAGCGAGGUGUUAUACUGAUAGCAUAUAUUAUUGAUAAAGCAUUGGAGCUUGCAGCACGAUCUAGAGAUAGUAAUGGUCAAUGGGUUAACGCUGUGGGGUAACUGCCAAUACUCCCACUUGGACCUUUAAGGGAGCCUUUGAGUUGACUGCACUGAAACAGGUAGAUGUUGCUGUCAGCGAUAAUGCAGAUCUGGUAUGCAACAUGACUAACCUUUUUCAGUUUCCCUUUUUAAGUAAUUUUGCUUCAAUGGACAUUGCUCAUUUUGAUCGGCAUGUAUUUAGCUACUUGAAUUCUGUCAGAUGCAAACUUACAUUUAAAAAUAAUUGGUAUGCUAUUGAAAUAAUUGAGGUUAAAGUUUAAUCUUGGGUUUAAGACAAUGUCAUAUCUAUGCAGAUAAUCUUUUACUCUAAUUUUCCCCCUAAUAAUAAAGCAACAUUUUUGCAGUUUUGCAUGUGUAAAUUUUAGGUUAUUUAUGAUGGGUAAGAUUUAAAAUUGUAGUGGUCAUUGAUCUGAGCAUUUUUUUGAUAUGAGUAGGAGGUUUAAAGUUUUAGAACUUUUACCCUAGUCUUUUCAUAAUUUUGCUUGGAGUCAAAGUGGUAUGCGUUUACUUUUGAGAAUAUUAUUUCCUUAGUAAUUUCUAGAUAUUGAUGUGAAAGCAAUUUAAGUAGUUGUCUCUAUUUAAUGCUGCUUUUAUUUGCUUAUAUCCCACUUUGAACACCAUUUAUUUUUUUUAAAUUAUUAGUUUAUUGCAUACCUUGUGUUGGUUUUACAACUAACGCUUGACGGUUAGUUUUAUGUCAUUAGUGUGUUGCCUAAGUUUUUGAUGAUAGAUGUGUCUAUUUCUACUAACAGUUUCUAUGGAUAGCAGAGUAUGCUUGGAUUAGCAACCUAUAUACUACUCUGUAUAUUGUUGUGAUUGGUGACAUUAAGUAACAACCAUAUCUUAACAUCAAUUAUAUACUAUUUUGUUCUACCAAAUAAAAUUACUAAUUUGAGUUGUCUGUCUUUGUCAUAGGGGUUAGUUAGUCUAUUGAUUGGCUUUCAUUUUGUCACUAUUGAAACCAAACUAAAUGUCAUAUAUUUUUCCUGGUAUUUUUUUUUAAUUUAAAAUUUUGUGCAUUAAAUAUUGUUAAAAUAUUAUAAAUUUUCUUUAACAAAUAUGAUCUAGGUUUGGGUAUUUUCUUGGGAUAGAUUAUGAUUUAGGCCUUUGGAUUAGAUAAAGGUAUAAAGGUUAGAUUUGGUUAUGUUUUAGAUAUUUAUUUGUGUUAGAUUUUGUUUGGUUCACUAAACCAUGUGACUAGCUUCAAAAUUGUACAUACCGUGUGUAAUGCAACUGAGAAGGAUACAUAUUAAGUCAACUUUACAUACAUACUAAACAAAUAGUAGUUAUGGAAAUAAACAUUACCCUUAUGAACUCUAAGUGCAAUAGAGAUAUUUACCAUUGCAAUAAACAUCACCAUUAUUUGUGUUGCCUUUGAUUCCAUCUGGAAUUCACCGAUUUUUUGUAGAUAAGCUUUGGCUUUGCUGAAAAUUUUUUCAUCUAAUAAAAUGGUCCAAUUUGAUAUGAUCUUUUGUACUAAUUUCUUAAAUAAGUGAUUGUGUCUAAUGUUUAACCAAAUUAUUUGACCCAUGGAAGAUUGGGGCUAUAUCUAAUCUCUAUGUUGGUGUUUCAGCUCUACAUGAAGUUGCAAGCAAGUUCAUUUUAUAGAUAUCAUAUCAUAUGCCAAGGCUUUGCAUCUUCAAGGAAUUGUUUUUUCCUGUUGGAUCUAAAUGCAAAAAAUGUAUUAUUGUGUAGUUAUAUUUCUUUUCCACUUGCUGUAGUGUGCAUAUAUUGCACAUUUUUAUCUGAAAUUGUUGCUGCUUUCUGCGCAAAGAUUUUUGUAAUGUUUUGAUUCAAGAAGUGGUACAAAUUCAAAAUAUUGUUAUCUUCCUUCA